rnacentral:rRNA from 1 species
AGUGAACGCUGGCGGUAGGCCUAACACAUGCAAGUCGAACGGCAGCACAGUAAGAGCUUGCUCUUACGGGUGGCGAGUGGCGGACGGGUGAGGAAUACAUCGGAAUCUACUUUUUCGUGGGGGAUAACGUAGGGAAACUUACGCUAAUACCGCAUACGACCUACGGGUGAAAGCAGGGGAUCUUCGGACCUUGCGCGAUUGAAUGAGCCGAUGUCGGAUUAGCUAGUUGGCGGGGUAAAGGCCCACCAAGGCGACGAUCCGUAGCUGGUCUGAGAGGAUGAUCAGCCACACUGGAACUGAGACACGGUCCUGACUCCUACGGGAGGCAGCAGUGGGGAAUAUUGGACAAUGGGCGCAAGCCUGAUCCAGCCAUACCGCGUGGGCGAAGAAGGCCUUCGGGUUGUAAAGCCCUUUUGUUGGGAAAGAAAAGCAGCAGGUUAAUACCCCGCUGUUCUGACGGUACCCAAAGAAUAAGCACCGGCUAACUUCGUG